rnacentral:rRNA from 1 species
UACGGAGGGUGCAAGCGUUAUCCGGAUUUACUGGGCGUAAAGCGUGCGUAGGCGGUGGUCCAAGUCUGGUGUGAAAUCUCCCGGCUUAACUGGGAGGGUGCGCCGGAAACUGGGCCGCUGGAGUACGGGAGAGGCAAGCGGAAUUCCAGGUGUAGCGGUGAAAUGCGUAGAUAUCUGGAGGAACACCCGUGGUGGAGACGGCUUGCUGGACCGUGACUGACGCUGAGGCACGAAAGCGUGGGUAGCAAACAGG